GUUGAAAUGGGUAACUGAAAUGAUUCUAUUCCAUUGGCCAUUGGCCUUUUGUGAUUUUCCAAACUUUGGUAGCCGAAGCUUGUCUAAGGAAGAAUAUUCAUCCUUUUCCAGUUUUGCUGGCAAAACUAUCAUGUUUCGGUAGCCGAAACUGAGUUUCUUUAGCCGAAACUGAGUUUCUUAUCAAACCUUCCUUUUAUCUCCUAAGGUUAGCGGAAACCUCUUUAACUUUUGGCUAUUGAACUUAUCAUUUCUUAUAAAAACAAAAUAGUAAUCAAAUUGUAAAAGAAGGAUCCUAAUAUUAGCUUUUAACUCCCACUUUUUAUAGUAAAUUCGUUAUAAAAUUCCAAAUGAAUUUCAAACAAUUGGUCAUUUUGCAAUUGUGAUGCAAUUAUGGCAGCACCAAACUAUAAGAAAAUUCUCUAAGGAGUAAUUCAAAUGAAGAUCCACAAACUUAGCAUGCUAAAGGAGAUUAAAUGGCUCAUAUUAGGGCAAGUGUGCAUGGGUGGAAUUGGUGGAGUUCAAUGCUAAAUUAUUUUUCCAACAAAUGCUAAUAAA
rnacentral:misc_RNA from 1 species